AAAGAUCUGUGGUGCCAUCCUGUUAGAACCCACAACUCGACCUUGCCAGGGCUUUCUCUAGGUGUGAGUUACUGGAGGCAUUGAGUGUUGGAAGAGACAGGAGGGAGACGUUGAAUAUAGCAUAGUCCUCAGGGGAAGUGGAUAUUCUCAACUACGACAAGCCUAGGAAGGGCUGUUCAGCUACUACGGAGUUUCAAGUCCUUUGAAAUAACCCUUUAUUUCUCCUCUGUUCACAGGCCCCAUGUCCUUGGUAUUAAUGUGGGGGGUGGGGGGUGGGUGGGGGGCCUUCAGUAGCUGGAAGCAGAGAAAUGGUAGCCAAUGGCCAGAACAACCUUCAUACAAACCUUCUACCAGGUCCCUGAAUCCAGGGACAGUUGCCGUGUCACCUGUGAAGCCCUCUGUACUAUUAUAACAACAGCAUUAGGUAGAAGGAACCAGCUUUCCGGGUUCUGCUGCAUCCCGUGACACAUCUUGCUACCUGGCCUGUUUAUGGACAACAUUCAAUGAGACCAACCUCAAAAUAACUGCACAGAUUAAUGAAGCUUCUGCGACCAGUUUCUCCCUAUUUGCCCUGCCUAUUUAGCCAGAUUGCCGUAUUUUUAUGAUAAACUAUUUGAAAAGUUACCUGCCUCUCUAGAGUUUUAAACCCUUCUCAUAGCAUCUCAGUGGUGGGAGUGGUUUUCAGUGUAUUAUUUGGUUUUCCUCUCCUAGGGCUUUUCUCCUGGUUCUCAGGUUUCUAAUAGAAAAGGGGCUAAAUCAUUGCUGUUGACACCUGGCAUUCAGAGCCUUCUACAUACCACCCAGCCAGCUGAUUUCCAUAGAACUGCUGUGGGAGUCUUAGGGUGAGCUCUGCAGACAUGGAUGCUGUCCCACUCUCUGGCUGAGCUCAUAUAGUCUUAAUUAGUGUACACCCUGGAGACAGCCCCUCCCAAAUCCUUUCCUCAUUCAAUCUGGCAGUUCCCUUGGUCAAGCUCCCUCGAUGCUGGCUUAAGUAUGGUCUCCUCACGAGGUGACCAGUUAGCUAAAUGCAUUCCUAGCUGCGUGUUUGUCCCACCAAGCUGCAAGGGUCCUUAGCUCCUAGAUUACCUGUGUUUGAUCUACUCUUGUUGGCUUUUCCAGAUGGGGUACAACUUUCAGAAAUCUGCCAUCUUCACAAAUGCUUGCAAUCAUGUGUUUCCCAGGAACUCUCACAUCCAGACCGUGUGAUAAGUACCAGGACAUGUGAGUCUGCUAGGAGACAGUGCUCUCUUGUUAAACACUUCCAGUUGAAAGGAACCUCUCCCUGGUUUGGAAUAGUGGCAAAGAGUCAUGGAAUUCCAGGCAUGG